CAGCAUAUUUUCAGCACUGGACAGCACCUUCUCUCUAGCUUCUCUUUCUCGGGAUUUGUUAUUGUUGGUUGUUUUCUCAUUCACAUGCAUGUCCACGCGAUCCCUUUCAGUGAAGUGUUUACUGGAGCACUUCAUUGAUUCACUAGCCUUUGGUGCUCCAAAUGUUCCUUCUCAUGAGGUUUACUUGGCCGAGUGAGCAGUCCGAAGCUCAUGCGUCAUUAAAAAUAAAUGGCGAAAAAUGAUCGGGGAGCACGAACUGGACCUCGAGAUUAAUGAGAACGCUCUCUUGGGCUAUGUUUUACGUGAAGUCUAAAUAAGACAACUAUCAUACACAUUUAAAGGGAAAAUUUAAGUCAUUUUACCAGACUGCCAGAGUAUUCGCACGCUUAAGUUACCUGUGGUUAUUCUUAAACGUGAAUGAAAGAGACUUUCAGUCAGGCGCGCGCACAGGGAGUGUGACAGAACGGCUUUCGAUGCACUUUUACCUCAUGACAAACAGUAAAGUUUUAUAUUUGAUUUGUACUUUUUCUCUGCUGGUUUACUGGUAAGCACUUUACUGUGAAACGUGCGUGACACAAACAACGACAGGCUACUAGUACUAUAACCUAUACAUGGUAAGAAUCUUCUUUAAACGUCGCAAGGGAACGUUCUUACAACGUCAUAAAAUUUUAAAACGUGAAAAUAUUUAUUAGUUCAAAAAUCGACAUCUGUCGUAUUACGCACUUACGAUAAAACAUUAACAUCCUUCCCAAGGCUUUCACAACGUAGCCUAGUUGCGGCGAAGGCUCGCAGAAUACGUAAUGAAUACAGGAUACGUCAGAGGUCUGUGGGCAGUCAUCUUUCCAACCAACACCUUUUUUCCAACACCAAUUCAGUGAACGGGACUGGACUGUUAUAUCAGGGCUGUCAUGAUGGCUAACUGGCUGAAAUAAAUCCAACGACUAACGGAUAUUUCUAGUCAGUUCUCUUGGAAUUGUAAAGCUGAAUUCCCAGAUUGUGAACAAUGAAGACGUCUGAGAUUACGUGGGGCGCUUUUAACGGAGCGACCGAGACUAACGGGACGCGCGCGGAGAAAGUUCAGCACGUGCUCCAGCCCUUCUCAUCCACUGUGGCGCUUCUCGUGCUGGGGAUGGUCAUUAUAGGGAUUAUUUUACUGUCAUUGACCACCUAUCACUUUCACAAAAGCAAGAUGAAGAAGAGGAAGAUGCUGAGGGCACAGGAGGAAUAUGAGCGGGAUAACUGUGGCUCCUCUGUCCCCGUCAAAGUGAAUCCCGCGCUGAGCCGCUGCGUGAUCGCUCGCCCCGCUCCACCGCAACGUCCACCGACAGACACUGACGCUAAACCUCGCGACGGAGUCACGGGCUCCUCAUAACUGGACCAAUGAAAACUAUGACUUUUGUAAAUAUGUAAGAUGAGCAGGCAUCUAUAAUCUGAUGAUGAGAUGAGACUGGACUUUCCUGAAAUCAUCGUAUGGUGGACUUUACACAGUAUCUGAAUAAUGACUGUCCUUUAAUUUAAGAACAGCUGAGUUGAAUGCGUUAUAAUUGGAAAUCAAUGGAUGGUGAAACACAACAGUGGGCCAGUGCUUGAGAGAAAUCUUGAUUUGGGAUUCUCUCAAGAUGCUGUCCAAGGUGCUGAUUGUUAUUCUGUACUCCUUUAACCCAUUUAAUCCCUCAAAUUACAUAAUUUUUUGUGUUGGAAUGGUUUAAAAGAGUAGUUGAGGUGUUUUGCACACAGUAAAUGACUUUGCAGGCUGUCUUGGUUUCAUGUGAACAUUUUUAAAUGGCUGGUGUAAACUGUCACAUGACCUCUGGUUAAAUUCCAUGUUUGAUAAUUAUAGAUUCAGAAAAGCAUGUUAUUAAUGUAGGAUUUAAAUUGCUCCUUUCAUACAUGGAGACAUGUCAGUGGUUACAUAUGUGCCUGGUGGGAAACCAAGAACCCCUUUCUAAUAAUUAACUGAUUAGAAUCCAAUCAAUGUAUUGUUACAGUAAUCAAACACAAAGUAAUAUUUGUUAAUUAAUUCUUACUCUUCCUUUUCCGAAACUACCUGAUAAAAAUACAUUAACAUGUUUAAUGUUAAAAUGUAGAAUAUAAAUGUGUUUAUAUUUUUCAGUCUACAAUUGUGAGCAUUUUUUAUUUUAUUUAUUUUUUUACUUUUUGUAUUAUUAUUAUAUUAUUUAUUUUGUAUGCCAUUCAUUUCAUAGGUCUAUUCAAGGUGUAAUAAAAUAAGGAUUAAAUGGGUUAACUCUGUCUAAUCAGGAGUGGAAUGAUCUAAAACUAGAGCUUUGCUAUUCUACUGUUAGGAAAGUUACUAUCAGUAUUAGACUAUAUAUUUGUUUGUAAUUGAAGAUGAUGAUUGAAACAAUAUUACAGAGCUUAGACAGGAGCUCAGUCAGCAUUCUGUUAUACUAUCCUCUUGAAUUUACCAUAUCCAUAACCAAGCAUUUAACAGAACCAUGUACUAAUCAUACCGAUAUUAAAGCACAUUUAUCUAAAAGAUCAUUGGUAAUAUGCUCCUUUCAGAUUUGUACCUCUGACUCUUUUAUGUUGUUAAAACAUACUCUAAUAGUUGUGAUGACUUACAUGUAAAUAAUAAAGCAUAUUUGACUACA